GGUCUAUUAGUCUAGUUGGUUAGGACGUCGGAUUCUGAUCGCAUUGGUCUCUUCCGUAAGCCCAGGUUCGAAUCCUGGAUGGACCU
rnacentral:tRNA from 1 species